UACGUAGGGUGCAAGCGUUAAUCGGAAUUACUGGGCGUAAAGCGCGCGUAGGCGGCUUUGCAAGUCGGGUGUGAAAUCCCCAGGCUUAACCUGGGAACUGCAUCCGAGACUGCAGUGCUAGAGUAUGGGAGAGGGAAGUGGAAUUUCAGGUGUAGCGGUGAAAUGCGUAGAUAUCUGAAAGAACAUCAGUGGCGAAAGCGACUUCCUGGACCAAUACUGACGCUCAUGUGCGAAAGCGUGGGGAGCAAACAGG
rnacentral:rRNA from 1 species